rnacentral:tRNA from 1 species
GUUAACGUAGCUUAAAAUUAAAGCAAAGCACUGAAAAUGCUUAGAAGGGCCUAUACCCCGUAAACA